UUAUUUACCCAUGGUAAAUCCCAUUAUACAAGUUUGUAAAACUUACAAGUUUACACCAAUGGGUAAUUUUCCAUAUAUAUCACAUCAGUUUAAGACUUAGCUUGACCGUGUAACACGGUUUAAAAGGAAAAGAAAGUUGUAGCUAAUAUUGCCAUAUUACAGUCCAAGUUUUUGGAAACAUAUGUCAAAUGUCUCUCUCAGAAGUCUCAUCCUCUUCUUCUCCAUUGAGAAUUCAGAUGGUUUCAAAGUCUGUCUCAGAAAAACUUCUGUCGAAAUUCUCAGAUGUUUCGGAAUUCGACUUUGAUUAUUCGCAGAGCGGUCUGUGGUCUCCUCCCAUCCAAAGAAGUGUGUUCUUGAGCUCUCCAGGGAAGAUUCUCUCUCAUGCACAAAUGGCUGCCAAGUUAACCAAACUCUUGAACAGACAUCAGAGAAGAAGAAGAAGAAGACCACAUUGCUUCCAUGGGGUUUUGCAAGCGUGUUUGUGUUCUCCGAAGAGAUUUCAAGGAGGCAGAAGCUAGCAUUAUUGCAGGAAAGGAUCAAACCUUUUUUUUUUUUUUUUUUUUUUGUCUUUUUAAUAGAAAUGCAGACAAAUAGUAUAGCUGCUGACCUGCAUAUUCUUUUGAUUUUUAUUUUAAUAAUUAAUAUUUUUCUUAAAUGUAACUUCUGCAGUA